CUCAAAUUAUACACGUUUUCUUCAUUUUUUUCCUGAGAAGAAACAAGUCUCAUGGCCUCAAGGAUGAAGUUCUAAGUUUUAAAACGUAUCACUCAGCAGGAUCUGGCCAGGCUCCCUUGAAGCCUGGCUUUUAGGAAGUGGGGACUAUUUUUAUAUCACUGCAUAUUACUGGUGAGGAAACUGAGAAACAGAAAGCUUAAAUAAUUUCCCAAGACUAACGCAGCCUUCAGUGCAGAGCUGAGAUUCAAACACAUGCUCCAGGACUUCAGAGCCCACCCUCUUCACCUCCAGGAUCAGGUCAAGUUGCUGUCCAUGACAGGACCUCACUAAGUUGCCCAGACUCACCCUGAACUUGAGAUCGUCCUGCUUCUGUCUCCCAAGCAGCUGGAUUACUGGCAUGUGCCACUGCACCUGAUAGGUCUUAGUUUCUAUGGUUUUUCAUCUGUGAGAUGAGGAUUUUGAGUAGUACCUGCCCCCAGGAUUGUGAGGAGGCUUCAGGGAGUUGAUACAUGGAAGCCACCACUUAAUUAGCACUUGCCAUGUGCUCAACCCUAUGGUAGGUUUUUGGCAGACACAACAUCUUUCUUUGUAUGUGGUGCUAAGGAUCGAACCCAGGCCGCACGCAUGCCGCUUGAGCCACAUCCCCUGCCCAAGUCCCAGUUUCUUGAUGCUUACAGUCUACUGAGCAAGGAGGCAGUGAUCAACAAUCAAUUUGAAGUUGUGGCAGGGCUUUCUGCUGAAGACUCUGGGUUCCAGCCUGGGGUAGGCUUCGUCUUGUGUCUGGGCCACUGUUCACUCUUCAUUGGACUUACCAGUGCACAUUCUUCAAGACUCAGGUCAAAGCCAGUGUUUUCCCAGGAAGGUUUCACACUCCCUGAGCAGGAUGCGCUGCUGCCUGUUCACCCAAGUCACCAGCUCUGUCCCGGCGUGAACCUUCGCUCUCCUUACAGCAUCAGUCUUUGCAGAUGAUCUGGGAGCUCCAGUGCCUCCUUGUUCCCUACUGCCAUCCAGCACUAGCACAGAAGUCACAAUGUGGGGGGUGGCCAGGAAGGGGAGGGUUUGACCGAUUUGUCCCCUGAUCUCCCAGGCUGAGGACUGUGCCCUGUGCCCUGCUAUUGCAUGCCACGUGUGUCCUCAGAGCCAUGUUCUUCCCUUGCCUUCAGGGAUAACCCCUAGGGAUCCAAACAGUGACCCUGAAGCUGGGCAUUCCUUUGUCCACACCCCCAGGCCCAGCAAGACCCAUGGUCCGCUGUGCACUCAGGGACUUGUCCUUGUGCUCUCCAAAUCCCCUGGACAUUCUCAUGACCAUGGAUGACCUCACACCUACUUUUUCAACAGAAUUUUUGGGCACAGUUUAUGGGCAGAUUGCACCCAAAGCCUGGACCCUCUUCCCAAAGGACAAACAAGGGUCAAACAUUGGGUCAACUCAGUCUGUAAUAGUAUAAUCCGUGAAGGUGUCCAAUGACCCUGAAAGAGGCACUAGGCACAGGGCAUUGAGGCAGUCCUUGAACACCCUUUGCCAUAGCAAACCGCGCCCCCCAAAUCCUUUCUAAUAAAAUAAUUCAUGGGAGCAAAAA